rfam:Pan troglodytes isolate Yerkes chimp pedigree #C0471 (Clint) chromosome 19, whole genome shotgun sequence.
GCCGGGUGUGGUGGCUCACGCCUGUAAUCCUAGCACUUUGGGAGGCCGAGGUGGGCGGAUCGCUUGAGUCCAGGAGUUCAAGACCAGCCUGGGCAACAUAGCGAGAUCCUGUCUCUA